rnacentral:snRNA from 1 species
AGUAUGCUUUAAAUUUUAUAUACUAAAAUUGCAACGAUACAGAGAAGAUUAGCAUGGCCCCUGUGCAAGGAUGACACACAAAUUCGUGAAAUGUUCCAUAUUUUU